rnacentral:rRNA from 1 species
AGAGUUUGAUUCUGGCUCAGGACGAACGCUGGCGGCGCGCCUAACACAUGCAAGUCGAACGAGCGAGAGAGAGCUUGCUUUCUCGAGCGAGUGGCGAACGGGUGAGUAACGCGUGAGGAACCUGCCUCAAAGAGGGGGACAACAGUUGGAAACGACUGCUAAUACCGCAUAAGCCCACGGCUCGGCAUCGAGCAGAGGGAAAAGGAGCAAUCCGCUUUGAGAUGGCCUCGCGUCCGAUUAGCUAGUUGGUGAGGUAACGGCCCACCAAGGCGACGAUCGGUAGCCGGACUGAGAGGUUGAACGGCCACAUUGGGACUGAGACACGGCCCAGACUCCUACGGGAGGCAGCAGUGGGGAAUAUUGCACAAUGGGGGAAACCCUGAUGCAGCGACGCCGCGUGGAGGAAGAAGGUCUUCGGAUUGUAAACUCCUGUUGUUGGGGAAGAUAAUGACGGUACCCAACAAGGAAGUGACGGCUAACUACGUGCCAGCAGCCGCGGUAAAACGUAGGUCACAAGCGUUGUCCGGAAUUACUGGGUGUAAAGGGAGCGCAGGCGGGAAGACAAGUUGGAAGUGAAAUCUAUGGGCUCAACCCAUAAACUGCUCUCAAAACUGUUUUUCUUGAGUAGUGCAGAGGUAGGCGGAAUUCCCGGUGUAGCGGUGGAAUGCGUAGAUAUCGGGAGGAACACCAGUGGCGAAGGCGGCCUACUGGGCACCAACUGACGCUGAGGCUCGAAAGUGUGGGUAGCAAACAGGAUUAGAUACCCUGGUAGUCCACACCGUAAACGAUGAUUACUAGGUGUUGGAGGAUUGACCCCUUCAGUGCCGCAGUUAAAACAAAUAAGUAUUCCACCUGGGGGGUAGGACCGCAAGGGUUGAAACUCAAAGGAAUUGACGGGGGCCCGCACAAGCAGGGGAGUAUGUGGUUUAAUUCGACGCAACGCGAAGAACCUUACCAAGUCUUGACAUCCCUUGACAGACAUAGAAAUAUGUAUUCUCUUCGGAGCAAGGAGACAGGUGGUGCAUGGUUGUCGUCAGCUCGUGUCGUGAGAUGUUGGGUUAAGUCCCGCAACGAGCGCAACCCUUAUGGUCAGUUACUACGCAAGAGGACUCUGGCCAGACUGCCGUUGACAAAACGGAGGAAGGUGGGGAUGACGUCAAAUCAUCAUGCCCUUUAUGACUUGGGCUACACACGUACUACAAUGGCGUUAAACAAAGAGAAGCAAGACCGCGAGGUGGAGCAAAACUCAGAAACAACGUCCCAGUUCGGACAGCAGGCUGCAACUCGCCUGCACGAAGUCGGAAUUGCUAGUAAUCGUGGAUCAGCAUGCCACGGUGAAUACGAACCCGGGCCUUGUACACACCGCCCGUCA